AACGAACGCUGGCGGCAUGCCUAACACAUGCAAGUCGAACGAUCCCUUCGGGGAUAGUGGCGCACGGGUGCGUAACGCGUGGGAACCUGCCCUUAGGUUCGGAAUAACUCAGAGAAAUUUGAGCUAAUAUCGGAUAAUGUCUUCGGACCAAAGAUUUAUCGCCUUUGGAUGGGCCCGCGUUGGAUUAGCUAGUUGGUGGGGUAAAGGCCUACCAAGGCGACGAUCCUUAGCUGGUCUGAGAGGAUGAUCAGCCACGCUGGGACUGAGACACGGCCCAGACUCCUACGGGAGGCAGCAGUGGGGAAUAUUGGACGAUGGGCGAAAGCCUGAUCCAGCAAUGCCGCGUGAGUGAUGAAGGCCUUAGGGUUGUAAAGCUCUUUUACCCGGGAUGAUAAUGACAGUACCGGGAGAAUAAGCCCCGGCUAACUCCGUG
rnacentral:rRNA from 1 species